UACGUAGGGACCAAGCGUUGUUCGGAAUUAUUGGGCGUAAAGGGAGCGUAGGCGGUUCGGCAAGUCUUUAGUGAAAUCUCUGGGCUCAACUCAGAGUCUGCAUGAGAAACUGCCGGGCUUGAGUGUGGGAGAGGUGAGUGGAAUUCCUGGUGUAGCGGUGAAAUGCGUAGAUAUCAGGAGGAACACCUGUGGCGAAAGCGGCUCACUGGACCAUAACUGACGCUGAUGCACGAAAGCUAGGGGAGCAAACAGG
rnacentral:rRNA from 1 species